rnacentral:rRNA from 1 species
CCUUCGGGUGGCAGCAGUGGGGGAUAUUGCACAAUGGGGGAAACCCUGAUGCAGCGACGCCGCGUGUGGGAAGACGGUCCUCUGGAUUGUAAACCACUGUCUCCAGGGACGAAGAUGACGGUACCUGGGGAGGAAGCUCCGGCUAACUACGCGCCAGCAGCCGCGGUAGUACGUAGGGAGCGAGCGUUGUCUGGAAUUAUGGGGUGUAAAGGGAGCGUAGGCGGGGAUGCAAGUUGGGUGUAAAAACUAUCGGCUCAAUUGGUUGUCGCACUCAAAACUGCAGCUCUUGAGUGAAGUAGAGGCAGGCGGAAUUCCUAGUGUAGCGGUGAAAUGCGUAGAUAUUAGGAGGAACACCAGUGGCGAAGGCGGCCUGCUGGGCUUUUACUGACGCUGAGGCUCGAAAGUGUGGGGAGCAAACAGGAUUAGAUACCCUUGUAGUC